GACAGAGGGUGCAAACGUUGUUCGGAAUUACUGGGCGUAAAGCGCACGUAGGCGGAUCUUUAAGUCAGGGGUGAAAUCCCGGGGCUCAACCCCGGAACUGCCUUUGAUACUGGUAGUCUCGAGUCCGGAAGAGGUGAGUGGAAUUCCGAGUGUAGAGGUGAAAUUCGUAGAUAUUCGGAGGAACACCAGUGGCGAAGGCGGCUCACUGGUCCGGUACUGACGCUGAGGUGCGAAAGCGUGGGGAGCAAACAGG
rnacentral:rRNA from 1 species